AUAAACAGGGCUGUACUUAAACCGAGGUACCACUGUAGAGAAAUUUAAAAAGUAUAAAGAAAUACUUUUUUAAUUUCUCUACAGUGGUACCUCGGUUUAAGUACAGCCCUGUUUAC